rnacentral:rRNA from 1 species
CAGUCGCCGCGGUAAUACGAAGGGUGAAAGCGUUACUCGGAAUUACUGGGCGUAAAGCGUGCGUAGGUGGUGGUUUAAGUCCGUUGUGAAAGCCCUGGGCUCAACCUGGGAAUUGCAGUGGAUACUGGGUCACUAGAGUGUGGUAGAGGAUAGUGGAAUUUCCGGUGUAGCAGUGAAAUGCGUAGAGAUCGGAAGGAACAUCUGUGGCGAAGGCGACUAUCUGGGCCAACACUGACACUGAGGCACGAAAGCGUGGGGAGCAAACAGGAUUAGAUACCCCCGUAGUCCCUGUCUCUUAUAC